GGGGAUUUAGCUCAGUGGUAGAGCGCUUACCUAGCAAGCAUAAGGCCCUGGGUUCGGUCCCCAGCUCCG
rnacentral:tRNA from 1 species